AUACGGAGGGUGCAAGCGUUACUCGGAAUCACUGGGCGUAAAGCGCGCGCAGGCGGCUUGAUAAGUUGGAUGUGAAAGCCUACGGCUCAACCGUAGAACUGCAUCCAAAACUGUCAGGCUAGAGUGUGGAAGAGGAAGAUGGAAUUAGUUGUGUAGGGGUAAAAUCCGUAGAGAUAACUAGGAAUACCAAAAGCGAAGGCAAUCUUCUGGAACACUACUGACGCUGAGGCGCGAAGGCGUGGGGAGCAAACAGGAUUAGAAACCCUAGUAGUCC
rnacentral:rRNA from 1 species